rnacentral:misc_RNA from 1 species
AAGGUAUGGAUUGUGAUGGUAUUUCUUCUUCAGGGAGUUAGUUUAUCAAUGUCUUUUUUUCCAUGCUUCCUUUCACUUGUAUGCUCAUGCAAUCUUCCCAAGCGUAGGAUGCACAUAUUGUAAUUGUCUUUGUUAGGUUUGUGUGUGCUAAGAUGCAUGAGCGUGGUAGUUUUGAGCAUUUACAAUUUUCUAACUAUUAAAUUUGUUAUCAGAGUCUACUUUAUCUAGGAACUAUAUAUGCAUACACUAGUGUGAAUCCUGCCUUCCCACAUGAUUCCUCUGUUUUACUUAUACAGCUUUAGUAAUGAUUUAAGCUAAAUAGUGUAGCACUUGUCUUUUAGCAAAUCUGGAGAAAUUCUCAGAAUUUUUGGUUUCCUUCAUUUGAGGGUGUGUAAUAUGGAAUGAAGAUUGUAAAGCAAG